CUAGUACGGGAGGGCAGCAGUGAGGAAUAUUGGUCAAUGGAUGGAAAUCUGAACCAGCCAAGUAGCGUGCAGGAUGACGGCCCUAUGGGUUGUAAACUGCUUUUAUGUGAGAAUAAAGUUAGGUAUGUAUACUUAUUUGCAUGUAUCACAUGAAUAAGGACCGGCUAAUUCCGUGCCAGCAGCCGCGGUAAUCUAG
rnacentral:rRNA from 1 species